UACAGAGGUCCCAAGCGUUGUUCGGAAUUACUGGGCGUAAAGGGCGCGUAGGCGGUUCGUUAAGUCCUGUGUGAAAUCCCCCGGCUCAACUGGGGAACUGCACAGGAAACUAGCGGGCUUGAGUUCGGGAGAGGGAAGCGGAAUUCCGGGUGUAGCGGUGAAAUGCGUAGAUAUCCGGAGGAACACCGGUGGCGAAGGCGGCUUCCUGGACCGACACUGACGCUGAGGCGCGAAAGCUAGGGGAGCAAACGGG
rnacentral:rRNA from 1 species